CCCAUCCAAUCCAAUAUCCAAAUCUAUUUCCCCACCUAAAAACCUAAUACACAUUACAUACACACUCAGAUACACAAGGGACACGCCUGGAAAUCUUGAGCGCAGCUGUGCAAAGGACAAACAAAGGACGAACCCCCUGGUGUCGUCUUCUUCAGCGGUUCUCCCAUCUUCUCCAAACGACCCACCCUUCUCUUCAGUGUCUUCUCCUCCAUUCACCUCCUAAUCCCCGUUGCACCCACCACCUCUGAAACCAAACAGAGACCUCUUGUCUCACGUCAACCAUCAUAGUCGACGUUCACCAGUUCCUCAUUCGAGCUGUUGUUUCGUCAGAAAUGAUCACCAACGAGUGAUAACGCCACUGGCACGGGUCUGUUCGGAAACUCCAACACGCAACCACUAUUCAAUCACUCAUACAAAAAAACGAAAAUACUAUAUUCUCUUUGUGCAUUUUCGUCAGUCUUGUCUCAGAAAAUCAGAGGCAUCACUUUCUGAUUUUGUUCAAAAGUGGAGGUUAUUUGAGAUCGUUUACGAUUCGAAAUUUCUUGUACUAAUUCAAAGUUUCAUCGAGGUGUUGACUGUUGGUUGUCGGUUGCAGUUUUGGUUUAUUUUCCGCGUUUUAGGUAUGUGCUUUUGAUUCAAAAUGCUGUAAAUGUCAUUGGAUGGUCUAUUGCACUGAAAUGUGUAAUAAUUAUUUCCUUCAUCACUCUGCAAAUUUCAGUAUUCAAUUUUCCUUUUCCCUGUUUCAUUUCGUCACUUAUGUGACGAUUAUAUGCUUCAGUUUCAGCUGCUGUCCAAUUGUAUGAUAUUGUGUGAUUCGUCGAUCUACUCUUGUUAUCC
rnacentral:lncRNA from 1 species